rnacentral:piRNA from 1 species
UUAUAGCUCUCAUAUCUUGGC